UACGUAGGUGACAAGCGUUGUCCGGAUUUACUGGGCGUAAAGAGCGCGCAGGCGGUCGUUCAAGUCGGGUGUGAAAGCCCCCGGCUCAACUGGGGAGGGUCAUUCGAUACUGAUCGACUCGAAGGCAGGAGAGGGUAGUGGAAUUCCCGGUGUAGCGGUGAAAUGCGCAGAUAUCGGGAGGAACACCGGUGGCGAAGGCGGUUCUCUGGGCCUGUACUGACGCUGAGGUGCGAAAGCGUGGGGAGCAAACAGG
rnacentral:rRNA from 1 species